AGACAGAGAGAGAAAGCGACAGAGAGAGGAAGAGGGAAAGCAAGAGAGCGACAGGAACCAUGUGACCUCAAGGUCGUCAUGAGAUGGACUUCAGGUCGAUGAUGUCACCGCUGAUCCAUCCAUCCGGCCGGCCGGAGGACAGCCCUGGGCCUCUUCCAUGAUGCGUUACCGUGGCAACCAUACCGUCUGCCCCCCUUGACCUGCUUCCUAUCAUGAACGAUAGAGUUGUAAAUCAACGCGAAGCCACCUCGACACACUCCGUCUCCGCUCCGUAAACUUUCCUGCCUCCAGUACAUUCCUGUUGAAAACUAAGUCCGGGUUGGGCUCCUCCACACCGAUAGACUCUUCGUUCCCAGCCGCCUGGUCCUGGUAUGGCUGGGCUUGGAACACCCACUGGAAUGGCUCGGCUUGGAACACCCACUGGAAUGGCUCGGCUUGGAACACAGGCUGGAAUGGCUCGUUUAGGAAUUGUUGGUUUGGAUGACAGGCUGUGCCGGCGGAACCCCGCCCCUCCCUCUCAGCACUGAGGCCUGAGAAACAUAAACCGUCAUCCUUUCUACAAGGUUUGUAAGAGUAUCUCUACGAAACAUUAAAAUAAAUGGAAAUCCUGAG
ensembl:lncRNA